UACGGGGGGGGUAAGCGUUGUUCGGAUUUACUGGGCGUAAAGGGCGCGUAGGCGGCGCGGUAAGUCACUUGUGAAAUCUCUGAGCUUAACUCAGAACGGUCAAGUGAUACUGCUGUGCUAGAGUGCGGAAGGGGCAAUCGGAAUUCUCGGUGUAGCGGUGAAAUGCGUAGAUAUCGAGAGGAACACCUGAGGUGAAGACGGGUUGCGUGGGCCGACACGUGACGCUGAUGCGCGAAAGCCAGGGGAGCAAACGGG
rnacentral:rRNA from 1 species